rnacentral:rRNA from 1 species
AUGGACGCAGCGGCGACCACCGCCGACCUGCUCUCCGCGCUGGCGCCCUCCUGGAGCGCGGCGGUGGUGCUGGCCUCCUACCUCGCGUACCUCGCCGCCGCCGGCGCCCUCCUCCCUGGCAAGCUCGCCGUCGGCGCCGUCCUCCCCAACUCCUCCCGUCUCCACUACCGUUGCAAUGCCGACUCUAACAGGCGCACGCGCGCGUAUGCAGGUAUGCUCUCGAUGCCGCUGCUCCUGGGGCUCUUCGCGCUUGGCGUCUACAUGGGCUGGAUGACUCCCACGGUCGUGGCUGACCGUGGGCUCGAGCUGCUGUCGAUGAUCUUCAUUUUAAGUGUCAUUGCCUUGGACAUAAUCAGGUUCAAGAGCCUCAUGGACAAGAGUAAGCUCGAUGCACAACCUGAGCUCUUCAUCAACAUCAUUCCUGACAAGGCGACCACCACGCUCACGAUCGUCGACAGUGGCAUUGGCAUGACCAAGCCGGACCUCGUCAACAACCUCGAGACCAUCGUGCAUAAGCUAAACUCUGUUAUUUAUGUCUGCCCUGCAUAA